AGGUUCUCACGUUUGGUUGCAAACGUUUGUGGUCCUCAACCAUCAUCCCAAGUAGCUCAGCAACAUCCUGCACUCUAUCGUAGGACUCAGCCCUUGUAUAUGCUUGGAUAACCCAAUUAUACGUCUCCGUAUCAGGUUUCAUAUGAUCGUCACCAUAUUCCAUAUUCUCAAAUGUCGCAAAAGCAAUUUCAGGUAUCCCACAGCUAGCCUGCACACUCAAAAGACAAUUGAAAUGGGAGGUAGUAGCCAUUCUGCCAGCAGCCUCCAUUUCAUAGGCAAUAGUUAACGCAUUUGAGUGAUCUCCUACUUUACAAUCUUCUUCUAUCAGGAGAUCAUAGAUCUCAUCAGUUGCUCUGAGUCCACCCUCAGCACCCUUGAGAAACACUUUGUUGGCAUCUUCUAGAUGAUUACUCCGUACAAGCUCCUCAACAA
rnacentral:misc_RNA from 1 species